rnacentral:rRNA from 1 species
CCUACGGGUGGCAGCAGUGAGGAAUAUUGGUCAAUGGCCGGAAGGCUGAACCAGCCAUGCCGCGUGAAGGUCAGUGCCCUAUGGGCGUUAAACUUCUUUAGUGCGGGAGCAAUAAUGGUCACGUGUGGCAAGACGAGAGGACCGUACGAAUAAGCAUCGGGUAACUCCGGGCCAGCAGCCGCGGUAAUACGGGGGAUGCAAGCGUUAUCCGGAUUUAUUGGGUUAAAGGGGUGCGGAGGUUGUGAGGGAAUUCAGCGGUGAAUGGCCCCCGUUAAAGGGGGUGAAGUGCAUUGAUACUGCCUUGCUGGAAUGCGGAUGCCGUGGGAGGAAUGUGUGGUGUAGCGGUGAAAUGCAUAGAUAUCACACAGAACACCGAUUGCGAAGGCAUCUCACGAAUCCGCGAUUGACGCUGAUGCACGAAAGCGUGGGUAUCAAACAGGAUUAGAUACCCGGGUGUC